rnacentral:pre_miRNA from 1 species
AUACUACUCCCUCCGUUCGGAAUUACUUGUCUCGAAAAUGGAUGUAUCUAGAACUAAAAUACAUCUAGAUACAUCCAUUUCUACGACAAGUAAUUCCGAACGGAGGGAGUACAUA